rnacentral:misc_RNA from 1 species
UCAAACUUGGUCAUUUAGAGGAAGUAAAAGUCGUAACAAGGUUUCCGUAGGUGAACCUGCGGAAGGAUCAUUAUUGAAUAAACUUGGUGGGUUGUAGCUGGCUCCUUGGGGCAUGUGCACGCUCAUCAUCUUUAUCUAUCCACCUGUGCACAAUCUGUAGUCUUGAGGGAGAUGAUAGCGGGCUGAUUCACAUGGAUCAGUUUGUGACUUUCUCUUGGGUCUAUGUAUUUUCAUACACUCUAUAGUAUGUUGCAGAAUGUAAUUAUUGGGCUUCUUUGCCUAUAAAACUCUAUACAACUUUCAGCAACGGAUCUCUUGGCUCUCGCAUCGAUGAAGAACGCAGC